AAUUAUGCUGAGGCAGUGUUCUUUGAGAGUGGAUAAAAAGGAAAAGGUGCCACUUCAAAUGAAAUAGAGGGAGUAAUAUAACUUUCUAACAUUGCCACAUAAAACACAAAUGCCAUAAAAAAUUUAUCAACAAUCAAGUGUGUGUCACAUUUAUGGUACUAGGUUUUGUCUUUUCAUCAAAUGGUUAAAUUUUGUUUUUGUUGUGUUCACACUGAAGGAAAACAAUACAAAAGGAGAGCAUGGGAUAACACAAAAAGUAAGAAGAAAAAAAAGAGAAUGGCCAUAUUUAUCUCACAUUUUCUCAUUUGGCAUCUGGAGGUGGAGGAAGUGGAGGUUUCGUUGGCGGAGGAGGAGGCAGAGCAUUGUAUACUGGUGCCGGAAAUUCAACUAAUAAAGAUCACAAUAUUCUAUCAGCUGAACAACUUGUGCUUGAUCUAAGCAAUCCCGAUCUUCACGAAACGCUCUCCUAGACCUUCCUAAGAGAGAGCAAGGGAGAGUGAGAGAAGAUAAUGAAGAGGGUCUACUCGACAAUCUAAAACAAAAAUUCCAUAGUCCCAUUAACAUUUUGGAUCAAUUGAUGCAGCCACCUCGUCGUUAUUAAAUCCUCCUUAUAUACACACGAAAAAACCACACAUGGUCAUAAAAAAUAACAAGGUCUAAUGACAAGGAAUGCUCUGUGAUCACAAAUCGAGAUGCCCAGGAGUGAGGAGUAAGGAGAAACCUUAUGGACAAGAAAAAUACAACAUAAAUGUGAAUCUUAUAGAGGAUAUAUUGUUAGAAGAGAUCGAUAAUAUUGCACGUCUACCUAUAUAAACAAACUAGGUAAAGCGUCACAGUAGACUUUUUAGAAAUGACUGGAGAUGGCAGUGAGGGAUUUGCUGUUGAUUGUUGCAAUACACGUGCUCUUCAAUUCAUCUUUCCCUCCUAGUCCUCCGCCUCUCACCUCAACCCUCAAUGAUGAAAAAGAAAAGGUGAAUUGGAGUAUAAGAAUAUCGCAACAAACAGAAGCAAAUCCCUCACUGCCUUCUCGAGGCAUUUCUAAUAGGACAACUGUGACGCUUUAUCCAGUCAGUGUAUAGAGGUAGAUCUCCAAUAUUAUCUAUCUCACCCAACAAGACAUCCUUGGUAAGAUUGCCCUCUAUGUUGUGAUUAGCUAGUCCCUAUAACUUCUCCCCCUCCUCCCUCCCAGGCUUUUCUUUUAGUGAUCAUGAAGCUUUCCUAUUUCGGCAUUUGACCAUUGUUAAUUUUUUCUGAUCAUGUGUGAUUUUUUCACGUGUAUUUCUAGGAGGAUCCAACGAUCAUGAUGUGGCUGCAGCAAUUUCCCUGUAAUGUUAAUGGCACUAGUAUACUGGUUUUAGUAAGUGUAUAAUUUACUUCUUCACCAACAACUAAACAACCCGUAAGUACUUUAAUUUCCUUUCAUCCUCUCUUUUGUUUUUGGUAUUUUGAAUUUGGGGUUGAGCUGGGGUGGGGUGCGGGAGAUUUUGAUCUCUCUUUGAAUUUUUUUAUAUUGGUAAUAUAAUGAUCUUUUGAUAUUGCUAUAGUAGUUUAACUAAGGGAACAAUAGAGCUCUUGCAAAAGCAUUUUGCAAGAUUCUUUGUGGGUUCAGUACGUGACAAAGCUAAACAACAUUGGAGAUCCCAAGGAUGAAGAAGGUAUAGGCAAUGGGGACAUGAGUGAUAUCACCAAUACUCUUCUCACUUAGUACUCAAAACUUCUUUAUGGAAGACUUUUUAAAAGCUAAAUAUUGUUGUAGAUCUCAUCCCACUUUGAAAAAGUGGUGUGUUCUAGUAACUCUCAAGCAUGGAAAUUUCUUUUGGCUGCUAGAGAUAAAGCUGAGAACAAUAUCAUCUGGCAGAUCAAUGUUUAAGAUUGUAGUUUCUGGUGUGACAACUGGUCCACUAGAGGUACCCUUGUGAAUUUAAUAUCAAAGCCGAAGUCAAGGAUUUCCUAAUCAUGAACAAUUGGAAUAUUGAUAAACUCACAGAACUAUUUCCAGAAUUCACUGUCCAGCAGAAAUCUGCAAUAAUAGCCUUUCUGUUGAUACUCUUUGGAAUCUCACUUCAGCUUGGAACUUGAUCAGACAAUCCAAGGAAAAGAAUUGGAGCUAAGUCAGGUAUGGCAUAAAUUUCUUCACUAUAAAAUUUCUUUCUUUAUUGGAGAUUAAUUUUCUGAAGAUUACCAUUUAAGAUAUCAUUAUCAUUUAUGGUAAUAACAAUAGAAUCCCUACAUGUUUUUGUUGUGCUACCAAUGAGACUCUUAAACAUAUUUUCUUGUUGAGGGUCCUGCUUAACAGGUAUGGAAAUAUUUUGGAGGCCCGUUAGGAAUUACACAUAAUUACUCUGUCCACCUAUAAGAAUCAUGAGAACCUGGAGGAACAUGAGAGACUAUAACAAUGUGCAUAAAUUCAACCCUCAGAUUCUUCCUAUAUUUGCAUUAAUUGGGAGAUAUGGAAAAUUAAGGCAUCAUGUGAAUAUGGAGCUCAAAAAGUAUUCUACACAAGGAAAAUGGAGAAUUGUAUAGCUGGCCACAGUUCUGUCAAAUAUUGGAAAGACUCAGGCCUGUUGUCAUCUGUCAGCAAAUGCAAUGGCUGUCAAGUGCAGGAAGUGGAGGGGUUGAGAGAAAUGUCUGUAAAGUUAGUUAUGGCAUUCUCUAUUCCUGUCAAGUGCCACAUGAACAAUUAGGCUGAAGCCAUGGCUGCUAAGUAAGGAAUUGAUUGGCGCAAAAAACUACAACAUCAACAACGUAGACGUGGAUCAAUGAUUAUUACUAAUAUGAUCAGAAAACAGAGUACGGGCAAUAUUAAUCUCAACAAGAUCAUCUAUUAUAUUCUUCACAGUAUCAAGGACAAAGAUAUCCAAGUCCAACAUUGUUACAUGGAGGCUAAUCAUGCGGCAUCUAGUUGAAAUAGGACCACUACUCUUUUCAACAACUUCCAAAGAAUUGAAGGGCUCUUUUUAACUUGAUAAAAUUCAAUUACCUAGUAUUAGAAUAAGAUAUGACAAGGCACAUUUUCUUGUAAGUUAGUAACUCUAGAUGUUUGACAGGAAGAGAAUACAUGUUGUUAUGAUUGGACAGAAUAAGAAAUACCACAAAGCAAAAGAAAAUAAGAAGAAGACACAUAGAUUUACGUGGAAA